rnacentral:rRNA from 1 species
AUUGAGCGCUGGCGGCAUGCCUUACACAUGCAAGUCGAACGGUAACGCGGGGCAACCUGGCGACGAGUGGCGAACGGGUGAGUAAUAUAUCGGAAUGUACCCUAGAGUGGGGGAUAACGUAGCGAAAGUUACGCUAAUACCGCAUACGAUCUGAGGAUGAAAGUGGGGGAUCGCAAGACCUCAUGCUCAUGGAGCAGCCGAUAUCUGAUUAGCUAGUUGGUAGGGUAAAAGCCUACCAAGGCGACGAUCAGUAGCUGGUUUGAGAGAACGACCAGCCACACUGGAACUGAGACACGGUCCAGACUCCUACGGGAGGCAGCAGUGGGGAAUUUUGGACAAUGGGGGCAACCCUGAUCCAGCAAUGCCGCGUGAGUGAAGAAGGCCUUCGGGUUGUAAAGCUCUUUUGUCAGGGAAGAAACGGUUUGGUCUAAUACACUGAGCUAAUGACGGUACCUGAAGAAUAAGCACCGGCUAACUACGUGCCAGCAGCCGCGGUAAUACGUAGGGUGCAAGCGUUAAUCGGAAUUACUGGGCGUAAAGCGUGCGCAGGCGGUUAUAUAAGUCAGAUGUGAAAUCCCUGGGCUCAACCUAGGAACUGCAUUUGAGACUGUAUGGCUAGAGUGUGUCAGAGGGGGGUAGAAUUCCACGUGUAGCAGUGAAAUGCGUAGAUAUGUGGAGGAAUACCGAUGGCGAAGGCAGCCCCCUGGGAUAACACUGACGCUCAUGCACGAAAGCGUGGGGAGCAAACAGGAUUAGAUACCCUGGUAGUCCACGCCCUAAACGAUGUCUACUAGUUGUUGGGUCUUAAUUGACUUAGUAACGCAGCUAACGCGUGAAGUAGACCGCCUGGGGAGUACGGUCGCAGAUUAAAACUCAAAGGAAUUGACGGGACCCGCACA